UCGUCUCUUCAAUCUCACA
rnacentral:snRNA from 1 species